CCAUUUUCCCCCUCAAGUGACAGAAAUAUUGUUUUUUCAUUUCUCUGUGUACAGUAGAAAAGGACAUUAUUUGCUCUUACAUUUGCACAGGUCAGAUCAGAUCCCUUGCUAUGGCGAUUUUAAUCUGAUGCUGUGAGUGUAGAUGUAAUCCCGGCGGCUCCAAAAGGACCUGGGAACAGACCAAAAUAAAAUACAAGAACAUCCUUCAAUCUGCCAACAAGAAAAAAAAGGACCAGAGGAAGACAGGAGGGGGCCCUCCUCCAGCAGAGUUCACCCCUGCCGAGGAGCUGGCCCUCAGCAACAAUGAGGGUCGGCCCUUGAUGGUAGGGGUGGAAGGGGGGUUCUCUACAGACCCUGGUUGCAGCAGCUCCCACCACCUUUAUAUACAGGAUGAUGGGAAGAACGUGGUGUUGCUGCCCCCCCCCCCCCC